GAAACCACCGUCGUCAUGUCUGACCAGGAGGCAAAACCUUUAACUGAGGACUUGGGGGAUAAGAAGGAAGGUGAAUAUAUUAAACUCAAAGUCAUUGGACAGGAUAGCAGUGAGAUUCACUUCAAAGUGAAAAUGACAACGCAUCUCAAGAAACUCAAAGAAUCAUACUGUCAAAGACGGGGGUUCCAAUGAAUUCACUCAGGUUUCUCUUUGAGAGUCAGAGAAUUGCUGAUAAUCAUACUCCAAAAGAACUGGGAAUGGAGGAAGAAGAUGUGAUUGAAGUUUAUCAGGAACAAACGGGGGGUCAUUCAACAGUUUAGUUUUAAAAUUUGAGGGUCUGGACCAAAAGAAGAGGAAUAUCAGGUUGAAGUCAAGAUGACAGAUAAGGUGAGAGUAAUGACUAACUCCAAAGAUGGCUUCACCGAAGAAAAGGCAUUUUAAGAUUUUUUAAAAAUCAUGUCAGAAGAUCCCAGAAAAGUUCUAAUUUUCAUUAGCAAUUAAUAAAGCUAUACAUGCAGAAAUGAAUACAACAGAACACUGCUCUUUUUGAUUUUAUUUGUACUUUUUGGCCUGGGAUAUGGGUUUUAAAUGGACAUUGUCUGUACCAGCUUCAUUAAAAUAAAUAAUAUUUGUAAAAA